rnacentral:rRNA from 1 species
GACUGUACAAAGGUAGCAUAAUCAUUUGUCUUUUAAUUGAAGGCUGGUAUGAAUGGUUGGACGAAAAAUAUACUUUCUUUAUUUUAUAUUAAAAAUUUAAUUUUCUAGUCAAAAAGCUAGGAUUAUUUUAUAGGACGAGAAGACCCUAUAGAACUUUAUUUUCUUUUUGUAUAGGUUUUUUUGAUUAUUAUAAAAUUAUAUGCUAAUGUUAAUUUUAUUGGGGUGAUGGAAAAAAUUAUAUAACUUUUUUUGUUUAAUACAUUUAUAUAUGUUUUUUGAUCCUUUAUUAUGGAUAGUAAGAUUAAGUUACCUUAGGGAUAACAGCGUUAUUUUUUUGGAGAGUUCUUAUUGAUAAAGAAGUUUGCGACCUCGAUGUUGGAUUAAAAUAAGUGGCAGGAGUAGGAUAUUGUUUACUGGGUCUGUUCGACCUUUAAAUUUUUACA